rnacentral:rRNA from 1 species
AUUGAACGCUGGCGGCAUGCCUUACACAUGCAAGUCGAACGGCAGCGGACCUUCGGGUGCCGGCGAGUGGCGAACGGGUGAGUAAUAUAUCGGAACGUACCUUUCAGUGGGGGAUAACGUAGCGAAAGUUACGCUAAUACCGCAUAUUCUGUGAGCAGGAAAGCAGGGGAUCGCAAGACCUUGCGCUGAUUGAGCGGCCGAUAUCAGAUUAGCUAGUUGGUGAGGUAAAGGCUCACCAAGGCGACGAUCUGUAACGGGUCCGAGAGGAUGAUCCGCCACACUGGAACUGAGACACGGUCCAGACUCCUACGGGAGGCAGCAGUGGGGAAUUUUGGACAAUGGGCGCAAGCCUGAUCCAGCCAUGCCGCGUGAGUGAAGAAGGCCUCGGUUGUAAG